rnacentral:tRNA from 1 species
CGACGGGCGGUCCUCCCAGGACGGGUCGGCCGGCUCCGGGUCGGUGGGCCGGGGCGGUUCGAGGCCGUCCUCGCCGG